rnacentral:rRNA from 1 species
GAUGAACGCUGGCGGCGUGCCUAAUACAUGCAAGUCGAGCGAACGGACGAGAAGCUUGCUUCUCUGAUGUUAGCGGCGGACGGGUGAGUAACACGUGGAUAACCUACCUAUAAGACUGGGAUAACUUCGGGAAACCGGAGCUAAUACCGGAUAAUAUUUUGAACCGCAUGGUUCAAAAGUAAAAGACGGUCUUGCUGUCACUUAUAGAUGGAUCCGCGCUGCAUUAGCUAGUUGGUAAGGUGACGGCUUACCAAGGCAACGAUGCAUAGCCGACCUGAGAGGGUGAUCGGCCACACUGGAACUGAGACACGGCCCAGACUCCUACGGGAGGCAGCAGUAGGGAAUCUUCCGCAAUGGGCGAAAGCCUGACGGAGCAACGCCGCGUGAGUGAUGAAGGUCUUCGGAUCGUAAAACUCUGUUAUUAGGGAAGAAUAUAUGUGUAAGUAACUGUGCACAUCUUGACGGUACCUAAUCAGAAAGCCACGGCUAACUACGUGCCAGCAGCCGCGGUAAUACGUAGGUGGCAAGCGUUAUCCGGAAUUAUUGGGCGUAAAGCGCGCGUAGGCGGUUUUUUAAGUCUGAUGUGAAAGCCCACGGCUCAACCGUGGAGGGUCAUUGGAAACUGGAAAACUUGAGUGCAGAAGAGGAAAGUGGAAUUCCAUGUGUAGCGGUGAAAUGCGCAGAGAUAUGGAGGAACACCAGUGGCGAAGGCGACUUUCUGGUCUGUAACUGACGCUGAUGUGCGAAAGCGUGGGGAUCAAACAGGAUUAGAUACCCUGGUAGUCCACGCCGUAAACGAUGAGUGCUAAGUGUUAGGGGGUUUCCGCCCCUUAGUGCUGCAGCUAACGCAUUAAGCACUCCGCCUGGGGAGUACGACCGCAAGGUUGAAACUCAAAGGAAUUGACGGGGACCCGCACAAGCGGUGGAGCAUGUGGUUUAAUUCGAAGCAACGCGAAGAACCUUACCAAAUCUUGACAUCCUUUGACAACUCUAGAGAUAGAGCCUUCCCCUUCGGGGGACAAAGUGACAGGUGGUGCAUGGUUGUCGUCAGCUCGUGUCGUGAGAUGUUGGGUUAAGUCCCGCAACGAGCGCAACCCUUAAGCUUAGUUGCCAUCAUUAAGUUGGGCACUCUAAGUUGACUGCCGGUGACAAACCGGAGGAAGGUGGGGAUGACGUCAAAUCAUCAUGCCCCUUAUGAUUUGGGCUACACACGUGCUACAAUGGACAAUACAAAGGGCAGCGAAACCGCGAGGUCAAGCAAAUCCCAUAAAGUUGUUCUCAGUUCGGAUUGUAGUCUGCAACUCGACUACAUGAAGCUGGAAUCGCUAGUAAUCGUAGAUCAGCAUGCUACGGUGAAUACGUUCCCGGGUCU